UUUCCGUAGGUGAACCUGCGGAAGGAUCAUUAUCGUAGGGCUUCGGCCCUGUCGAGAUAGAACCCUUGCCUUUUUGAGUACCUUUCGUUUCCUCGGCAGCCUCGGCUGCCAAUGGGGACCCCAAAAAGCACUUUGCAGUACCUGUAACAGUCUGAACAAACAAACAAAAAUUAAAACUUUCAACAACAGAUCUCUUGGUUCUG
rnacentral:misc_RNA from 1 species